rnacentral:rRNA from 1 species
GACGAACGCUGGCGGCGUGCUUAACACAUGCAAGUCGAACGGUGAAGCUCCAGCUUGCUGGAGUGGAUCAGUGGCGAACGGGUGAGUAACACGUGAGCAACCUGCCCCAGACUCUGGAAUAAGCGCUGGAAACGGCGUCUAAUACUGGAUACGAGAUCAAGCCGCAUGGUUAUGGUCUGGAAAGUUUUUCGGUUUGGGAUGGGCUCGCGGCCUAUCAGCUUGUUGGUGAGGUAAUGGCUCACCAAGGCGACGACGGGUAGCCGGCCUGAGAGGGCGACCGGCCACACUGGGACUGAGACACGGCCCAGACUCCUACGGGAGGCAGCAGUGGGGAAUAUUGCACAAUGGGCGAAAGCCUGAUGCAGCGACGCCGCGUGAGGGAUGACGGCCUUCGGGUUGUAAACCUCUUUCAGCAGGGAAGAAGCGAAAGUGACGGUACCUGCAGAAGAAGCACCGGCUAACUACGU